rnacentral:rRNA from 1 species
GAUGAACGCUAGCGAUAGGCCUAACACAUGCAAGUCGAGGGGCAUCACAUGAAGUAGCAAUACGGAUGGUGGCGACCGGCGCACGGGUGAGUAACACGUAUGCAACCUGCCUUCAACAAGGGGAUAACCCGUUGAAAGACGGACUAAUACCCUAUAACACAGGGGUCCCGCAUGGGAAUAUUUGUUAAAGGACAACCGGUUGAAGAUGGGCAUGCGUUCCAUUAGCUAGUUGGCGGGUAACGCCCACCAAGGCAACGAUGGAUAGGGGAACUGAGAGGUUUAUCCCCCACACUGGUACUGAGACACGGACCAGACUCCUACGGGAGGCAGCAGUGAGGAAUAUUGGUCAAUGGACGCAAGUCUGAACCAGCCACGUCGCGUGAAGGAAGACGGCCCUACGGGUUGUAAACUUCUUUUAUACGGGAAUAAAGUGCCCCACGCGUGGGGUUUUGCAUGUACCGUAUGAAUAAGGAUCGGCUAACUCCGUG